rnacentral:lncRNA from 1 species
CACGGUCCCCGGUGCCACCUCAUGGUGGCUUCCCACAAUGAAGAAUCCAUUCGCCAGGCAACGAGGCGCUCUAGCCACUCUCUGGAUUGACAAUGUGACCCUUUCUGCAGCAUGUGGGAGCUGGGCAUUCCUCUGGAUGGGCCUGUCUGCUUCGGACAACUUCUGGGCAUGUGUGACCACGUCUCCCUGGCAUUAGGGCAAGCUGGAUACAUGGUAUAUAAGUCUAUCCCCUAUGGCUGCCUGGAAGAGGUGAUACCCUACCUGAUCCGAAGAGCCCAGGAGAACAGGAGUGUGCUGCAGGGCGCCCGGAGGGAGCAGGCACUACUCAGCCAAGAACUGUGGCGGAGGCUGCUGGGAAGGAAAGCCUAAGGUUUCUCCGUCAGCACCAUCAGGGGCCGUGUGCUCAAUAAAGGUCCUUAGCCCUG